ACGAAUAACUAUGGUGUUGGUUGUAGCUGGCUCCUCGGAGCAUUGUGCACGCCCGCCAUUUUUAUCUUUCCACCUGUGCACCGACUGUAGGUCUGGAUAACUCUCGUCUUCGGACGGAUGCGAGGAUUGCUCGUGAGGGCUCUACUCGAAUUUCCAGGCUCUACGUCUUUUACACACCCCAAUAGUAUGAUUCAGAAUGAUAGUCAAUGGGCUUUCUAGCCUAUAAAAACACUAUA
rnacentral:misc_RNA from 1 species